rnacentral:rRNA from 2 species
UUUAUCGGAGAGUUUGAUCCUGGCUCAGGACGAACGCUGGCGGCGUGCCUAAUACAUGCAAGUCGAGCGGACAGAUGGGAGCUUGCUCCCUGAUGU